GGGUCAGUAGGUUGGUCGUGCCACCGGUACGUACUGGUCUCACUGAUUCCUCCUUCCUGAAGAACCGUAAUGCCAUUAAUUUGGUGUUGCGGGGAAACAGGACUGUUACUUUGAAAAAAUUAGAGUGUUUAAAGCAAGCUAACGCUAGAAUACAUUAGCAUGGAAUAAUGAAAUAGGACGAUCGAUCCUAUUUUGUUGGUUUCUAGGAUUGACGUA
rnacentral:rRNA from 1 species